rnacentral:rRNA from 1 species
CCUACGGGGGGCUGCAGUGAGGAAUAUUGGUCAAUGGGCGAGAGCCUGAACCAGCCAUGCCGCGUGCAGGAAGACGGCCCUACGGGUUGUAAACUGCUUUUGUGUGGGAAGAAAACGUUCUACGUGUAGGACACUGACGGUACCAUAUGAAUAAGCAUCGGCUAACUCCGUGCCAGCAGCCGCGGUAAUACGGAGGAUGCGAGCGUUAUCCGGAUUUAAUAGGUUGUAGGGGUGUGUAUGAGGACGAUUAGAAAUCUCAGAGCUUAACUCUGAAACUGCCAUAGAUACUGGUUGUCUUGAGUACAGUUGAAGUAGGCGGAAUGUGUAAUGUAGCGGUGAAAUGCUUAGAUAUUACACAGAACACCGAUUGCGAAGGCAGCUUGCUAAGCUGUUACUGACGCUGAUGCACGAAAGCGUGGGGAGCGAACAGGAUUAGAUACCCGAGUAGUC